rnacentral:tRNA from 1 species
AAGAGUAUAGUUUAAUUGGCAAAAUAGCGGUCUCCAAAACCGUUGUUCUAGGUUCGAGUCCUAGUGCUCUUG